rnacentral:rRNA from 1 species
UAGGGAAUCUUAGGCAAUGGGGGGAACCCUGACCGAGCAACGCCGCGUGAGUGAAGAAGGUUUUCGGAUCGUAAAGCUCUGUUGUUAAGGAAGAACGAGUGUGAGAAUGGAAAGUUCAUACUGUGACGGUACUUAACCAGAAAGGGACGGCUAACUACGUGCCAGCAGCCGCGGUAAUACGUAGGUCCCGAGCGUUGUCCGGAUUUAUUGGGCGUAAAGCGAGCGCAGGCGGUUAGAUAAGUCUGAAGUUAAAGGCAGUGGCUCAACCAUUGUAGGCUUUGGAAACUGUUUAACUUGAGUGCAGAAGGGGAGAGGUGAAAUCCAUGUGUAGCAGUGAAAUGCGUAGAUAUAUGGAGGAACACCGGUGGCGAAAGCGGCUCUCUGGUCUGUAACUGACGCUGAGGCUCGAAAGCGUGGGGAGCGAACAGG